rnacentral:tRNA from 1 species
GCACUAGUGGUCUAGUGGUAGAUAGUACCCUGCCACGGUACAGACCCGGAUUCAAUUCCUGGCUGGUGCA